CACGUAGGAGGCGAGCGUUGUCCGGAAUCAUUGGGCGUAAAGAGCGCGCAGGCGGCCUGGCAAGUCGGGUGUGAAAUCCCGGGGCUCAACCCCGUGACUGCAUUCGAUACUGUCAGGCUAGAGGUAAGUAGGGGAGAUCGGAAUUCCUGGUGUAGCGGUGAAAUGCGCAGAUAUCAGGAGGAACACCGGUGGCGAAGGCGGCAUCCUGGACCAUAACUGACGCUGAGGCGCGAAAGCUAGGGGAGCAAACGGG
rnacentral:rRNA from 1 species